CUGUUGGGUAGGGGAGCGUUGUGUAAGCGGAAGAAGGUUCAUCGAGAGGUGGGCUGGACGUAUCACAAGUGCGAAUGCUGACAUAAGUAACGAUAAAACGGGUGAAAAACCCGUUCGCCGGAAGACCAAGGGUUCCUGUCCAACGUUAAUCGGGGCAGGGUGAGUCGGCUCCUAAGGCGAGGCUGAAAAGCGUAGUCGAUGGGAAACAGGUUAAUAUUCCUGUACUUGGUAAAGCUGCGAUGUGGGGACGGAGUAGGUUAGGUUAUCGCACUGUUGGAUAUGUGCGUUUAAGUUGGUAGGUGGGAAGUUUAGGCAAAUCCGGACUUCCUUAACACAGAGAGAUGAUGACGAGGCUCUACGGAGCUGAAGUAACUGAUACCACACUUCCAGGAAAAGCCACUAAGCGAAAGGCUUUACUAAACCGUACUGAAAACCGACACAGGUGGUCAGGUAGAGAAUACUCAGGCGCUUGAGAGAACUCGGGUGAAGGAACUAGGCAAAAUAGCACCGUAACUUCGGGAGAAGGUGCGCCGGCGUAGAUUGUAAGGGCUAGCCCCUGAAGGUUGAACCGGUCGAAGAUACCAGCUGGCUGCAACUGUUUAUUAAAAACACAGCACUCUGCAAACACGAAAGUGGACGUAUAGGGUGUGAUGCCUGCCCGGUGCUGGAAGGUUAAUUGAUGGUGUCAUCGAAAGAGAAGCACCUGAUCGAAGCCCCAGUAAACGGCGGCCGUAACUAUAACGGUCCUAAGGUAGCGAAAUUCCUUGUCGGGUAAGUUCCGACCUGCACGAAUGGCAUAAUGAUGGCCAGGCUGUCUCCACCCGAGACUCAGUGAAAUUGAAAUCGCCGUGAAGAUGCGGUGUACCCGCGGCUAGACGGAAAGACCCCGUGAACCUUUACUAUAGCUUGACACUGAACAUUGAAUUUUGAUGUGUAGGAUAGGUGGGAGACUUAGAAGUAGGAACGCCAGUUUCUAUGGAGUCAUCCUUGAAAUACCACCCUUUAACGUUUGAUGUUCUAACGAAGACUACGGAACGUGGUCUCGGACAGUGUCUGGUGGGUAGUUUGACUGGGGCGGUCUCCUCCCAAAGCGUAACGGAGGAGCACGAAGGUUUGCUAAUCACGGUCGGACAUCGUGAGGUUAGUGCAAUGGUAUAAGCAAGCUUAACUGCGAGACAGACAAGUCGAGCAGGUACGAAAGUAGGUCAUAGUGAUCCGGUGGUUCUGAAUGGAAGGGCCAUCGCUCAACGGAUAAAAGGUACUCCGGGGAUAACAGGCUGAUACCGCCCAAGAGUUCAUAUCGACGGCGGUGUUUGGCACCUCGAUGUCGGCUCAUCACAUCCUGGGGCUGAAGUAGGUCCCAAGGGUAUGGCUGUUCGCCAUUUAAAGUGGUACGCGAGCUGGGUUUAGAACGUCGUGAGACAGUUCGGUCCCUAUCUGCCGUGGGCGU
rnacentral:rRNA from 1 species